CACAAGCGGUGGAGCAUGUGGUUUAAUUCGAAGCAACGCGAAGAACCUUACCAGGUCUUGACAUCCCCUGACAACCCAAGAGAUUGGGCGUUCCCCUCGGGGGACAGGGUGACAGGUGGUGCAUGGUUGUCGUCAGCUCGUGUCGUGAGAUGUUGGGUUAAGUCCCGCAACGAGCGCAACCCUCGCCUCUAGUUGCCAGCAUUCGGUUGGGCACUCUAGAGGGACUGCCGGCGACAAGUCGGAGGAAGGUGGGGAUGACGUCAAAUCAUCAUGCCCCUUAUGACCUGGGCUACACACGUGCUACAAUGGGCGGUACAAAGGGCUGCGAACCCGCGAGGGGGAGCGAAUCCCAAAAAGCCGCUCUCAGUUCGGAUUGCAGGCUGCAACUCGCCUGCAUGAAGCCGGAAUCGCUAGUAAUCGCGGAUCAGCACGCCGCGGUGAAUACGUUCCCGGGCCUU
rnacentral:rRNA from 1 species